rnacentral:lncRNA from 1 species
GGAGAAUGGCGUGAACCCGGGAGGCGGAGCUUGCAGUGAGCCGAGAUCGCGCCACUGCACUCCAGCCUGGGUGACAGAGCAAGACUCCGUCUCAAAAAAAAAAAAAAAAUACUGUAAUAAACUGUUAAUGAGGAGGACAGAAAGAAAAAAGAAGGCAGUCUAUCAUUCACAUGUCUAAAAUAGUGCUCGGAAAAGGUGGAGAUGCUCCCUUCUCCGAGAGCUUUAAAAUGAAACUUUAAGGGCACAAUGUGGUGCUCUAGAAGGUAUGACAUGAUAUUAAAAUGAGUUCCCUCUGUCUUAGAUGCAGCUGCAGCCCAGAAGCAAAAUAAAUAACAGAAGGUGGCAAGCCCCCUACUUCAAGGUGGAGUGUUGGACUACCAAGGCAGGACCAGCAAAGGUUUUGUGAGCUACAGAAACAGAGCACCCAGGCUGGAAUACAGCGGCGCGAUCUCAGCUCACUGCAACUUCCAUCUCCCAGGGAAUGCUUGACAUGGGGCUCCACACUGAGGACUCUCAGAGCUGCUACGAGGGACCUGAAGACCUGAGGUCUAGGGUGAGAAGCAUCUGCCUUCAUCGACUUUAUGGACAAAGAAGGAAUGGUUUUUGAGGGUGGGGAUAUUUUUUGGUGGGCUCAGCCCGUCCUCACCUGUAUGUUACUUCUUGUCACUGAGUCACUUCCUGCUAUAAUAAUAAUAAUAAUUAUUAUUAUUAUUAUUUUGAGAUGGAGUCUCACUCUGUCGCCCAGGCUGGAGUACAGUGGCGCGACCCUGGCUCACUGCAAACUCCGCCCUCCAGGUUCAAGCAAUUGUCCUGGCUCAGCCUCCUGAGCAGCCGAGAUUACAGGAGCCUGCCACCAUGCCUGGCUAAUUUUUGUAUUUUUAGUAGAGAUGGGGUUUCACCAGGUUUGCCAGGCUGCUCUCGAACUCCUGACCUCAGGUGAUCUGCCUGCCUUGGCCUUCCAAAGUGCUAGGGUUACCGGCUUGAGCCACUGCGGCCUAUAAUCUCAGACUGGUCAAUAAUGGUUUUGGUAAAAUCACAACGAACCUGUUGUUUCUAUUCAGUCACGUACUUGAUCUAUGACUCUGAGCAAGUUGUUUCACCUGAGUCUUAAUUUCUUUCCCUGUAAAAUGGGCAUAAUGGGACCAUCUCAUCAUACUGGUUAAGUGUUGCAGGGACCAGAUGAGAACAAGGGAAAGCACUUAGAAAAGGUUGUUAUCUGGCUAGGUGCAGUGUAAUCCGCCUGUAAUCCCAGCACUUUGGGAGGCUGAGGCGGGUGGCUCACUUGAGGUCAGCAGUUCGAGACCAGCCUGGCCAACAUGGCGAAACCCUGUCUCUACUGAAAAUAAAAAAAUUAUCUGGGCAUGGUGGCGGAUACCUGUAAUCCCAGCUACUCUGGAGGCCGAGUCAAGAGAAUUGCUUGAGCCUGGGAGGUUGAGACUGUAGUGAGCUGAGAUUGUGCCACUGCACUCCAGCCUGGGUGAUAGAGGGAGACUCAGUCUCAGGAAAAAAAAAAAAAAAAGGUUAUUAUCUAACUAGGAGGUGGAAUUAGUACAGUUACUUGCAUUUGCCAGAUCACGGGAAACCCAAAAGUUACAGUAAUGUCGGCCAGGCUGCUGAGAGCCCUAUCCCAUCAUCAACACAUAUUAGAAUCAAGCCUUACCUAGGCAGCCUGCUACUUCUGGGUUCCACAGCAACACGAUGUCUUUCCUGUCCCUGCUGGAGUAAGUGAGCACACUGGUUUUCCUCCAAAGUUCUUUCUUUUUCCCAAGACAAAUGUCCAUCUUCAAUUUCAUUUUCCUCUUUCUCCUUCUUGCCCAUCUAUUUCCCACUCCCGUUUGAUCACUCACUCAAACUGCCCGUUCCCCUCACCCUGGCCCCCUUCCUCUCAUUACCCUUCCUUGGUCCCAUUGACCUGACAGGCUUUUCCCCAGCCCUUCCUCCUCCUAGCCUACCCACUCUUUUUGCACUUAUUCCUCCCCUCUCUCCCACCUCCUUGUCCUGAAUGCCCAUUUCAGCCUGAGACACUACUCUGUGUCGGCCUCUUUCCCUCCUCUCUGCUGAUGCUGGCCUUAGCCAUUUCCGUGCAUCAUUCAGUUUCUCCCAGUCAGGCGUUGGAAGUGCAAAGCUCUCAGCAGCACCCAGCCUUCAGCAUGUGGAUGGGGGUUCUAGGGGUGUGGAGAGGCACCUGAGAAGGACAGUACACCCGGUGCUUGCUGAGGGAUUGAAGUCUGCAGAGCUAUAAAUUUAAACCUCUUUUCUUCUACAUUGGGCUCAGGAGUCUUGAGUGAUUCCAAACUGCUCCCCACCAGUUCAUUUCUUUCCAGCCCUGAAUGAUCACUCUAGGCAGAGUCAGAAUAUAUAGUGAAAAGAGCAUGGCCUUUGGGAUCAGGCAGACCUGGGUUCAAAUCCUUACUCCACCACUUAAAAAAUUUUUAUUUUUUAAUUUUUGUGGGUACAUAGUAGGUGUAUAUAUUUUGAUACAGGAAUGUAAUGUAUAAUAAUCACUUAAGAAUAAAUGGGGUAUCUAUCACCUCAAGCAUUUAUCUUUUUUGUUACAAACAAUUGAAUAAGUUAUUUUCUAAUGUACAAUUAAAUUAUUUUUGACUAUAGUCACCCUGUUGUGCUAGCAAAUACUGUCUUAUUCAUUCUAAAUUUUUUUUUUGUACUUAUUAACCAUUCUCACUUCCCCUUCGCUCCCCCAAUACCCUUCACAGCCUCUGGUAACCAUCCUUCUACUCUCUAUGUCAAUGAGUUCAAUUGUUUUAAAUUUUAGCUCCCACAAAUAAGUGAGACCAUGCAAAGUUUGUCUUUCUGUACCUGGUUUAUUUCACUUAACAUAAGGAC